rnacentral:rRNA from 1 species
GACGAACGCUGGCGGCGUGCCUAAUACAUGCAAGUCGAGCGGACGAAUUUUUGGUGCUUGCACCGAAUUUUCGUUAGCGGCGGACGGGUGAGUAACACGUGGGUAACCUGCCUUGUAGACUGGGAUAACUUCGGGAAACCGGAGCUAAUACCGGAUAAUACUUUUGAACUCAUGUUCAAUUGUUGAAAGAUGGUUCUGCUAUCACUACAAGAUGGACCCGCGGCGCAUUAGCUAGUUGGUGAGGUAACGGCUCACCAAGGCGACGAUGCGUAGCCGACCUGAGAGGGUGAUCGGCCACACUGGGACUGAGACACGGCCCAGACUCCUACGGGAGGCAGCAGUAGGGAAUCUUCCACAAUGGACGAAAGUCUGAUGGAGCAACGCCGCGUGAGUGAUGAAGGAUUUCGGUUCGUAAAACUCUGUUGCAAGGGAAGAACAAGUAGCGUAGUAACUGGCGCUACCUUGACGGUACCUUGUUAGAAAGCCACGGCUAACUACGUGCCAGCCGCCGCAGUAAAAC